rnacentral:rRNA from 1 species
GUGGGGAAUCUUAGACAAUGGGGGCAACCCUGAUCUAGCCAUGCCGCGUGAGUGAUGAAGGCCUUAGGGUCGUAAAGCUCUUUCGCCGGGGAAGAUAAUGACUGUACCCGGUAAAGAAACCCCGGCUAACUCCGUGCCAGCAGCCGCGGUAAUACGGAGGGGGUUAGCGUUGUUCGGAAUUACUGGGCGUAAAGCGCGCGUAGGCGGAUCGGAAAGUUGGGGGUGAAAUCCCGGGGCUCAACCCCGGAAUUGCCUUCAAAACUCACGGUCUUGAGGUCGAGAGAGGUGAGUGGAAUUCCGAGUGUAGAGGUGAAAUUCGUAGAUAUUCGGAGGAACACCAGUGGCGAAGGCGGCUCACUGGCUCGAUACUGACGCUGAGGUGCGAAAGCGUGGGGAGCAAACAGGAUUAGAAACCCUAGUAGUCC